UACGUAGGUGGCAAGCGUUGUCCGGAAUUAUUGGGCGUAAAGCGCGCGCAGGCGGUCCUUUAAGUCUGAUGUGAAAGCCCACGGCUCAACCGUGGAGGGUCAUUGGAAACUGGGGGACUUGAGUGCAGAAGAGGAGAGUGGAAUUCCACGUGUAGCGGUGAAAUGCGUAGAGAUGUGGAGGAACACCAGUGGCGAAGGCGGCUUUUUGGUCUGUAACUGACGCUGAGGCGCGAAAGCGUGGGGAGCAAACAGG
rnacentral:rRNA from 1 species